rnacentral:rRNA from 1 species
GUGGAUUAGAUACCUUGGUAGUCCAUGCCGUAAACGAUGUCAACUAGCCGUUGGGGCCUUUGAGGCUUUAGUGGCGCAGCUAACGCGAUAAGUUGACCGCCUGGGGAGUACGGUCGCAAGACUAAAACUCAAAUGAAUUGACGGGGGCCCGCACAAGCGGUGGAGCAUGUGGUUUAAUUCGAUGCAACGCGAAGAACCUUACCUGGUCUUGACAUAGUGAGAACGAUCCAGAGAUGGAUUGGUGCCUUCGGGAAUUCACAUACAGGUGCUGCAUGGCCGUCGACAGCU